AAUCAAUGGCCUCCUGAACGUGCGUUGCACUCUCGGGAUUUUCUGAGAGCAUGUCUGCUUCAGUGCUUAC
rnacentral:rRNA from 1 species